rnacentral:misc_RNA from 1 species
AAGGCUUUUCCAGUAUUUCUUCAUUUCAUAUGACAGAAUUAUACACACAGUAAUUGUAUGCGUGUCAAGAGGAGGCGAUGUCUUCCAAAUAUUACUUUACCCCAACUACAUAAACUUUAGCAUAUAUUUUAACUAUUAAUCAUAAUAAUUUUUGCCUAAAUCUUAUUAUAAUAAUUAAAAUAUAUUUAUUAUACAUUAUAUUGAAUAAUUUUUCCAACCACCGCUCUCAUAGUUCAAGGACGGACCCGCAGGAUUCAGAUGCACCUUUUGUUUUUUUAGAAGAUCCAGAUCCACUUUUCAAUGGGCCGCUAUAGACUCAUAAGACUUCAACUUCUAUUUAGCUGCUUUACCCCUCAUACCUUUGUGCCGCGGUGUUGGAGUCGAUAACGAGCAGCUGAUAUCUAGCUAUAGCUAAACAAAGAAAAACACACAUUAUACCCGAUAAAACUUCAAAUCUUAGUCUGAAGCCCAUUAAGUUUAAGUUCAAAGUUGAACAGAAACCAUUAGAAUUCCUAUCCGAGAAUGUAGGAUGCAGGCAAAAAAGAUAAUAAAUUGUAGCAGCCAAUCCACUGUCGAAAAUACUAAAAUAUGGCAGGGCAUUUUCACUUCAUCAUAUGUUCAUUGGCUCUGGACCAGAGGCAUUUAGAAUAUCCAACAAUGAAUUAUGAGACUCCAACUCUUCAUGCCACAGUGG